rnacentral:sRNA from 1 species
AGAGUUCACUUGUCGUGUGGGCAAAAGCCUGCGUUCAGGUUCGACAAAACACGUUAUUGUUUUGAACGUCGCUUGCGACGAUCCGAAGGGCGAGGCGCAGCCGAGUCAUCCUGACCAAAUAUCA